rnacentral:misc_RNA from 1 species
GAUGAAGAACGUAGCGAAAUGCGAUAAGUAAUGUGAAUUGCAGAAUUCAGUGAAUCAUCGAAUCUUUGAACGCACAUUGCGCCCGCCAGUAUUCUGGCGGGCAUGCCUGUUCGAGCGUCAUUUCAACCAUCAAGCCCCAGGCUUGUGUUGGGGACCUGCGGCUGCCGCAGGCCCUGAAAACCAGUGGCGGGCUCGCUGUCACACCGGGCGUAGUAGAUUUUAUCUCGCUCAGGGCGUGCUGCGGGUUCCGGCCGUGAAACCCCCCAAUUUUCAAGGUUGACCUCGGAUCAGGUAGGAAUACCCGCUGAACUUAAGCAUAUCAAUAAGCGGAGGA